rnacentral:rRNA from 1 species
CCUGACGGAGCAGACCGCGUGGGGGAAGAAGGUCUGUGGAUUGUAAACCCCUUUUGACCGGGAAGAACACUGACGGUACCGGUCGAAUCAGCCUCGGCUAACUCCGUGCCAGC